rnacentral:tRNA from 1 species
GCAUCAAUAGCUCAAUGUAAGAGCAUCGGCCUUGUAAGCCGAAUGUUGAAGGUUAAAAUCCUUCUUAAUGCU